rnacentral:misc_RNA from 1 species
GCUCGACGACGAGGCGACGCUGACUUACCUGCACUCCACGGUCUCGACCAAGCGGCAUCGCGUCAGGGUGCCCGAGAUCCCGAUGUAUCUCGACGCGCUGCUUGCCGAUCGACCGCUCACCGGCGGGCUUGAGCCGAUGCUGGGUUCAGCGCAUUUGCGCGUCCUGACCAUCGUCGGGUUUCCGACGGCGACGACGCCCGGGAUUCUCGACGACCUGAACCGCCUCGCAUUCGCCUAUCGCUGGUCGACCCGGGCGAUCAUGCUCGAUAAGGCGGAUGCGACAAAACUUCUGACCAGGAUCAGACGGCAAUGGUUCGCCAAACGCAAAUCAGUGGCCGCAAUCCU